CACCGCUGCAAGAGGGGAAGUUGCUACUGUGAUGAAUUCUGCCAUGUGGCACCAGACUGCCACCCAGACCACAGUGUCCUCUGCAACCCUGGUCAAAGGUGCCUACAUGCUCCUUCUAGCUUUGUUUCCCUGAUGUUCCUUGCCACCUGCUACUCCUCUCUGAGCUACUUUUCCAGGUUCCACAGGGAGAGGUUCAGCUGUCCGUGGUAGACAUGAGGGUAGAGAAUGAGGUGGUUGGGUUCCACUUACCUUUCUAUCAUCUUGCAGUAUGGAUGUCUCUUGACUGGUACCGUGUAGACUUUUGAGGGCACACAGGAGUCUGCAGAGAGAUACUGGGGACAUUGAGCAGCAGCAGUGGGGUUGGGAGGCAGAAAUGAGGACAGGAACAUUUACCUUGUGUUUCUCUCAGCUUCUCAGAUGACCAAGAUGGUGCUGCAGAUGGUGCUGAGGAUGGAGAACCCACCAAGCCCCGCUAGGAGCCACCUAGACUGGAUGCAGAGCAUGGUUCAGUGAGUUCUCCAAACCAGCCUCCCAGGAAUGCCAUUCAACAUGGCUGUGAGGAGAAUAAAGAAGAGAGCCUGACUCCUCUCCUGAGGCCCCUUCCCCACCCUGAGCCAGCAGGAUCCACGGAGCAGAGGUCAUCUGUCCCCAGCUUGGCCCACUGAGGCCAGCAUGGCUGGGCCCAGGAUGCUUGUCUCUCAGCUCCCAUCCUGUGUACUUCCACAUUGGUUU
ensembl:lncRNA MUC20-OT1 MUC20 overlapping transcript